rnacentral:rRNA from 1 species
GAUGAACGCUGGCGGCGUGCCUAAUACAUGCAAGUCGAGCGAACGGACGAGAAGCUUGCUUCUCUGAUGUUAGCGGCGGACGGGUGAGUAACACGUGGAUAACCUACCUAUAAGACUGGGAUAACUUCGGGAAACCGGAGCUAAUACCGGAUAAUAUUUUGAACCGCAUGGUUCAAAAGUGAAAGACGGUCUUGCUGUCACUUAUAGAUGGAUCCGCGCUGCAUUAGCUAGUUGGUAAGGUAACGGCUUACCAAGGCAACGAUGCAUAGCCGACCUGAGAGGGUGAUCGGCCACACUGGAACUGAGACACGGUCCAGACUCCUACGGGAGGCAGCAGUAGGGAAUCUUCCGCAAUGGGCGAAAGCCUGACGGAGCAACGCCGCGUGAGUGAUGAAGGUCUUCGGAUCGUAAAACUCUGUUAUUAGGGAAGAACAUAUGUGUAAGUAACUGUGCACAUCUUGACGGUACCUAAUCAGAAAGCCACGGCUAACUACGCGCCAGCAGCCGCGGUAAUACGUANGUGGCAAGCGUUAUCCGGAAUUUAUGGGCGUAAAGCGCGCGUAGGCGGUUUUUUAGUCUGAUGUGAAAGCCCACGGCUCAACCGUGGAGGGUCAUUGGAAACUGGAAAACUUGAGUGCAGAAGAGGAAAGUGGAAUUCCAUGUGUAGCGGUGAAAUGCGCAGAGAUAUGGAGGAACACCAGUGGCGAAGGCGACUUUCUGGUCUGUAACUGACGCUGAUGUGCGAAAGCGUGGGGAUCAAACAGGAUUAGAUACCCUGGUAGUCCACGCCGUAAACGAUGAGUGCUAAGUGUUAGGGGGUUUCCGCCCCUUAGUGCUGCAGCUAACGCAUUAAGCACUCCGCCUGGGGAGUACGACCGCAAGGUUGAAACUCAAAGGAAUUGACGGGGACCCGCACAAGCGGUGGAGCAUGUGGUUUAAUUCGAAGCAACGCGAAGAACCUUACCAAAUCUUGACAUCCUUUGACAACUCUAGAGAUAGAGCCUUCCCCUUCGGGGGACAAAGUGACAGGUGGUGCAUGGUUGUCGUCAGCUCGUGUCGUGAGAUGUUGGGUUAAGUCCCGCAACGAGCGCAACCCUUAAGCUUAGUUGCCAUCAUUAAGUUGGGCACUCUAAGUUGACUGCCGGUGACAAACCGGAGGAAGGUGGGGAUGACGUCAAAUCAUCAUGCCCCUUACGAUUUGGGCUACACACGUGCUACAAUGGACAAUACAAAGGGCAGCGAAACCGCGAGGUCAAGCAAAUCCCAUAAAGUUGUUCUCAGUUCGGAUUGUAGUCUGCAACUCGACUACAUGAAGCUGGAAUCGCUAGUAAUCGUAGAUCAGCAUGCUACGGUGAAUACGUUCCCGGGUCU